rnacentral:rRNA from 1 species
GACGAACGCUGGCGGCGUGCUUAACACAUGCCAGUCGAACGGAAAGGCCCUGCUUUUGUGGGGUGCUCGAGUGGCGAACGGGUGAGUAACACGUGAGUAACCUGCCCUUGACUUUGGGAUAACUUCAGGAAACUGGGGCUAAUACCGGAUAGGAGCUCCUGCUGCAUGGUGGGGGUUGGAAAGUUUCGGCGGUUGGGGAUGGACUCGCGGCUUAUCAGCUUGUUGGUGGGGUAGUGGCUUACCAAGGCUUUGACGGGUAGCCGGCCUGAGAGGGUGACCGGCCACAUUGGGACUGAGAUACGGCGCAGACUCCUACGGGAGGCAGCAGUGGGGAAUAUUGCACAAUGGGCGGAAGCCUGAUGCAGCAACGCCGCGUGCGGGAUGCCGGCCUUCGGGUUGUAAACCGCUUUCGCCUGUGACGAAGCGUGAGUGACGGUAAUGGGUAAAGAAGCACCGGCUAACUACGUG